CCUGACUGCUAUCGGAUUGAUACUAAGCCAUGCGAGUCUUUGCAGUAAUACAAUGCAGACGGCUCAGUAACACGUAGUCAACCUACCCUAUGGACGAGAAUAAUCUCGGGAAACUGAGCAUAAUUCUUGAUAGAUCAUAAUGCCUGGAAUGGUUUAUGGUUAAAAUGAUUCGUCGCCAUAGGAUGGGACUGCGGCCUAUCAGCUUGUUGGUGAGGUAAUGGCCCACCAAGGCGAUUACAGGUACGGGCUCUGAGAGGAGAAGCCCGGAGAUGGGUACUGAGACACGGACCCAGGCCCUAUGGGGCGCAGCAGGCGAGAAAACUUUGCAAUGUGCGAAAGCACGACAAGGUUAAUCCGAGUGAUUUCUGCUAAAGGAAUCUUUUGCCAGUUCUAAAAAUACUAGUGAAUAAGGGGUGGGCAAGUUCUGGUGUUAGCCGCCGCGGUAAAACCAGCACCUCAAGUGGUCAGGAGGAUUAUUGGGCCUAAAGCAUCCGUAGCCUGCUCUGUAAGUUUUCGGUUAAAUCUAUAUGCUCAACGUAUAGGCUGCCGAAAAUACUGCAGUGCUAGGAAGUGGGAGAGGUAGACGGUACUUGAUAGGAAGGGGUAAAAUCCUUUGAUCUAUCGAUGACCACCUGUGGCGAAGGCGGUCUACCAGAACACGUUCGACGGUGAGGGAUGAAAGCUGGGGGAGCAAACCGGAUUAGAUACCCGGGUAGUCCCAGCUGUAAACGAUGCAGACUCGAUGAUGCAUUGGCAUAUAGCCAGUGCAGUGUCGCAGGGAAGCCGUUAAGUCUGCCGCCUGGGAAGUACGUACGCAAGUAUGAAACUUAAAGGAAUUGGCGGGGGAGCACCACAAGGGGUGAAGCCUGCGGUUCA
rnacentral:rRNA from 1 species